ensembl:lncRNA
CACGUCGUUGCCCGCGGCCCUGCCUCAACAGCCCCGACAGUCCCCUGGGCCGGGAAGGUCCCAGCUCUCUUCCAUCGUCGCCUUCCUCUCAGCUCGGGAGCCUCCCCUCUUCCCCCCCGCCCGAGACGCCGCCGAGGGUCCUCGAAACGGAUCCCGGAUGGGCUCGAAAGUCUGGAGGCAGAAGCGGACCUCUGGGGAGAGGACCGAACUGCCCCAGAUUUGGAGGAGACGCCUGUCAGCGCGUGGAAUGCAAGCCCUUCUGCGCAGUUAUUUUUAUUCCCAGGGCCUUUCUGCCUCGUCCUCGUCCUCCUCCUCUAUUUGUUCCCCUUCUGUUCAGCUAUUUGUGUUUUCUGAUCGGGUUAUUUUGUGAUGAAGAGAACAGAGCGCUGUUCAGCCUCGGCAUCUUCCCUCCUCCCUUCAACACAACGCAACUCUUAAUUAAACAUGGGACACCCACGCCUCCCUUCCCACAGGACCCCUUCCAUCUGCUCCCCCCACCCCAGUCUGAAAUACCAGCCUUUUAUGGACAGAGAAAGCCUCGUGUUGAACUUCCCAAUUAGCCAGACACAUCGCAAAAUAAGAGACUCUAAAGAGCUAUCACUCCUAUUUGGAGGCUCUUCCUUCCAGGCCUUACCUAGUACGGUUUUGGUGGCCUUAGUGUGACUUUAAAAUCCUGCAGGGCUGAGGACACGAGACCGCAGACACUCAGGUCCUGAGAAGCUUGAUCUGUGUUUUGUGGUUGAUGGGUUAGAAUUAAUACUCAUUACAAAAGAAAGGUAAAAGUUCGGGAUCGAUUUGAACUGGGACAUUUUCAUCUUUGUAAAAGGCUUCAGGGGUAACGUUUCACCAGAGGUUCUAAGAGCUUCAAGAAAAGUCCUCCUUUCCAGGCAGAACAGUCAAGAGGGUUGGACGGGAACCUUGCAUUUCUCUUUUCUCCCUUUCUGGCCACACCAAGAAGGAGGUGAUUAAUGAGCAGUAGAGUACUGGAAUCUGAGGGUCAAUGAUUUUCUGGUGCCUGGGAUCGGGAUGCCUGGGGUGGGGGUGGGGGUGGGGACUACCGAUUCCCGGACUGUCGCUGAGUCGGCAGCCAUCAAGCCAGAAGUUGGAGACCCCAGGUGGAGGAAUCACAGAGAGGAAAGUGGGGAGUCAUCCAGUCAAAAAAGGGAGAAUCCUAGAAUCAGAACAUGGGGUAUUCUAGAGUCGGAAGGCCGGAGGGGAAUCCUAGAGCCAGCUUUAGGAGGUGCCACAGGGACCGAUUUCACAUAAAAGAAAUAGCAGAGUAGCUAGUUUCAGAUGACCCCUCACUAGGGACCGAGGAAUGUGAGGGCGCAGGCAGCCAGGCCUCCACCAACACCCCACAGACAGCGGAUUCGGCCUUCCGGCUGGUGGUGCAGCUUCCGCACGCUCGCCUUCGCGCGCCACCCCCAAUUAUUCCACUUCUCGGGCCAGUGUUUCCUGAGGUUCGCCAGCAAGAAUCCACCCAGCAAUUAUCUCCCCUCUCGCGCUCAUGGGGGGACAUUAACCACGAACGCGCUGGAGAAGAAAGGUACAGAUGGGUCU